rnacentral:rRNA from 1 species
UACGGAGGGGGCUAGCGUUGCUCGGAAUCACUGGGCGUAAAGGGUGCGUAGGCGGGUCUUUAAGUCAGGGGUGAAAUCCUGGAGCUCAACUCCAGAACUGCCUUUGAUACUGAGGAUCUUGAGUUCGGGAGAGGUGAGUGGAACUGCGAGUGUAGAGGUGAAAUUCGUAGAUAUUCGGAAGAACACCAGUGGCGAAGGCGACACACUGGCCCGUUACUGACGCUGAGGCGCGAAAGCGUGGGGAGCAAACAGG